ACACAUGACGAGAAAAACGCUGUGCACCAGUCUGAUUGCAUGGGAACUACAAGUACUCUCCCAUUGCUCUGAAGCAUUAUGUAUACCCAAAUUUCUGAUG